CUUUUCGAGUACUUGUGGGUUCAUCAGUCAAAUUCACAGUGACGGAUGGUGAACAUAGCUCAGGGAAAACAGGAGGCGUUUUAUAAAGAUGAGAGCCUGCAUAGAUCCCGCCUCAUCCCCUUCCCUUCCUGCAUGUCCCGUCCACCUCCUCUCCCCAGGCAGGAUGGAGACACCAAGAGACCUCCAGAUCCCCAUCGGGUAAACCCACCGAGUUGGACUCUGAUAGUUGACUGUCACAUAAGCAGACUGCCUGAUGUACCAUGCCCUGUUCUCUAAGCUCUCUGACAUAUUUAGUGGGUGUUGAUGUCUCUGCUUUGAUGGAGAGGAAACUGACCCCACUGUGAGUUGUUGGCUUGUCCAAGGUCAAACCUUACACAGCCCCUAACUGUUGAGGUCAGAGAAGGGAACUGAUUCUAGGUAUAGCAUAUUGCAAAUACUAGAAUCCACCUUGACCUGCCCACUCAGGUGCCCUGGAGUAUUUGAAGAAGAUGACUUCAGGUUUGUUUGAACUUAAAGUGCUAUAGCACCAAAUGCUAUUACAAUUUAGGACAUAAGCAAUUUUUGUAUGAAACAUAUCAUUCUCACUCUUAGUUCUCCGGAGUCAGAAGGAACUAAGAAAGGUUUACCUGGAGGUCAGCAAGAGCAGAGUGGGUGGAAAGCCAAUGAUCGGACAAUCAAAUGGGGUCAUGGAGCCAGCAGGAAUGAAGCAACUGGUGUCCAGUAGAGAAGAGGGAGAGAAACCUCGAGGUCUUAAUUGAUAGCUUGAGACCAGGCAUUCAAGACCAGCCUGGGCAACCCUGUCUCU
rnacentral:lncRNA from 1 species